AAAAAAAAACACAUCUGAGUUUGUCAUUUCAUUCCAUCAUGCUGCUCUGUGCACUUGGAAUAUUUUCAGUACUUGCAGGAGACUCUCUUGGUGAUCUAAUAACAUCUCAUGGUUCUGAAAAACAAGCUCAAGAUGGUAACAAUGUUACUCUCUCCUGCAACUACACUGGUACUGUUUAUAAUCUACUGUGGUAUCGUCAGUAUCAAAGAUCCAAACCAGAACUGCUUCUGUUCAUGACUGAAUCUGGAGAUCCAGUUAAAGAAGAUCCAUCAGCCGACUGGUUAUCUGCUAAAGUUGACAAACACAGAAAGCUCAUGGAACUGGAAAUCAGCCCUGCUAAAGUAUCAGACUCUGUACAGUAUUACUGUGCCCUGAAGCCCACAGUGACAGGAAACCCUUUUCCUCUGUACAUAAUCUUUCUGUAUAUAAGUCAUGCUUUUAAUUGAUGCUUAACAAACACAUACUCUACAGUAUGUAUUAUUUCUGUGAUUGAAUCAGCCAUCAGUAACACAAGCAUCUGUUAAUGAAUCCACAAGGAUCAAUACAACACAUAUUUCCAUAGACAGGCAGAGCUUAUAGAUCUUAUAGAUCAUUAAAU